GGGGAUAACAGGCUGAUACCGCCCAAGAGUUCACAUCGACGGCGGUGUUUGGCACCUCGAUGUCGGCUCAUCACAUCCUGGGGCUGAAGUCGGUCCCAAGGGUAUGGCUGUUCGCCAUUUAAAGUGGUACGCGAGCUGGGUUUAGAACGUCGUGAGACAGUUCGGUCCCUAUCUGCCGUGGACGUUGGAGAUUUGAGGAAAGCUGCUCCUAGUACGAGAGGAC
rnacentral:rRNA from 1 species